GAGGGUUUAGCUCAGUGGUAGAGCUCAUGCUUAGCAUGCAUGAGGUCAUGGGCUUGAUCCCCACUACCUCUA
rnacentral:tRNA from 1 species